CAACACAGCAAAUGGUGAAGAAAAGUUUUGGUAAAAUUAGAGUUGAACUCAUAAUAAAUCUAGUACUUGCUAAUAAAACUUAUUUUAUAUCAGCAAUCUAUAUCAUCCUAAUUUACUGCAAUGUUAUUCUCAUAAUUGCUUGUUUUGUUGCCUUGAUUAUCAUGCAGAGAUUAUACUAGAAUUAACAAGAAAGUCUUUAUCUGAACUGCCAAUGGCCUAUUUGUUAGGUCAGGUACCUGUUUAUCCUGCAGUUGAUUGUAAUGCUGCGAAGACAGUCUUUUUUAAAAAUAUAAAUUUAUUUAUUUUAAUUGGAGGUUAAUUACUUUACAAUAUUGUAUUGGUUUUGCCAUACAUCAACAUGAAUCCGCCACAGGUAUACAUGUGUUCCCCAUUCUGAACCCACCUCCCUCCUCCCUCCCCGUACCAUCCCUCUGGGUCAUCUCAGUGCUCCAGCCCCAAGCAUCCAGUAUCAUGCAUCGAACCUGGACUGGCGAUUCGUUUCAUAUAUGAUAUUAUACAUUAUAUCAAAUCAUGGCAUCAUUCACAAUAAUACCAUAAGUCUCCAUUUCUUUUGCUUUGAAGGAGAGGUUGUCAAUGACAUGAAAAAAGUUCCUGGAAAUAUGGGAGUAGAACUCAAAGAAAAGAAACAUGAGUUGGUGAACAAUGUGCCAAUUAAUGGAGGGAAGGUUAACGUGAGUACUUUGGACAGCAUUCUGGGGGAAAUGAGGAUUAAACUCAUAGAAAAGGAAAAGGAAAAACUGACAGAAAACCUGCUAGCUAAUGGAGGAAAGUUUAAGGCCAAUAACCUAGACACCAUCCUUGAACACCCAGGAAUCGAGCUCACAGAAGAGGAACAUGAAGAUGUGAAAGAACACCUGCCACUUAGUGGAGGGGUCGUUGAUGUCAGUAAACUGGACACUGUUUUGCAAAACAUGGGAAUGAAGCUUAUAGGAACAGAAAGUAAAGACUUACUAGAGAAUCUGCCUGUUGAUGGUGAGUGCUUACAUUUUUUGCACUGUUGAAAAUAACCUGAGAUGUGAGUAUCUAUAAAAUCACUUCUGGAAAAAAUCUUACAUGCCAUUAACAAGACAUUUAUAAAAGCUUAGAAAUGAACUAAAAAGAGAAAAUAAGAAAAUAUUUUUUCUCAUCAUUUUAUUAACAUAAGCCAACAACUCCUUUAAUUUUGGUUCUAAAGGAAUCAUGAAAAUGAAGACAGAACUGUUAUUAGAACUAUAAAAAGUGAGGCAAGAUAAAAGCAACUGAGGGAAAAGUUGCAUGAAAAACAGUAUGGAAAUAGGUUAAUGCAAAAAUAUAGAAAAGAGUAGGUCAGAGGUGAGAGAGUAUUGACAUGUGGGACAUGUUCCAUAACUGUAUGGUAAUGCUCACUCCCUUUCUCAGUCAUGGACCAUCAGACAUUCUGGUCAUUAUGUAUGAAAUGCUUCCUUACUUCCCUAUUUCCAUAAAAUCCACAUUCCUACACCAGACUCCAUGAGCCAACGACUGUAUUCUUAGGUUUACCCCCU
rnacentral:lncRNA from 1 species